rnacentral:rRNA from 1 species
UACGUAGGGUGCGAGCGUUAAUCGGAAUUACUGGGCGUAAAGCGUGCGCAGGCGGUUUUGUAAGACAGCUGUGAAAUCCCCGGGCUUAACCUGGGAACUGCGGUUGUGACUACAAGACUAGAGUGCGGCAGAGGGGGGUGGAAUUCCACGUGUAGCAGUGAAAUGCGUAGAGAUGUGGAGGAACACCGAUGGCGAAGGCAGCCCCCUGGGUUGACACUGACGCUCAUGCACGAAAGCGUGGGUAGCAAACAGG